AUCGCUUCUCGGCAUUUUGCCUAAGAUCAAGUGUAGUAUCUGUUCUUAUCAGUUUAAUAUCUGAUACGCCCCCUAUCUGGGGGCCAUAUAUUAAAUGGAUUUUUAGAACAGGGAGAAGGAAGAAGAGCUUACUCUGUCCACGCCACACAUUGACCUGGCAUCGCAGUACCUCCAGGAUCGGUGCACAAAAA
rnacentral:snRNA from 1 species